rnacentral:rRNA from 1 species
AAUUUCAGCCAUAGUACCUUGAACCUACUGGAUUUUGUCUAUCUUGGAAGCUCAAUAGGGUCUGGCCUGGUUAGUACUUGGAUGGGACACUAGCUGGGAAUAACAGGUUCUGUAGGUC